rnacentral:rRNA from 1 species
CCUACUUUCUGCCGCCGUCGGGAAUAUUGCGCAAUGGAGGAAACUCUGACGCAGUGACGCCGCGUGUAGGAAGACGGUUUUCGGAUUGUAAACUGCUUUAGACAGGGAGGAAAAAAGACAGUACAUGUAGAAUAAGAUCCGGCUAACUACGUGCCAGCAGCCGCGGUAAUAGGUAGGGAGCAAGCGUUAUCCGGAUUUAUUGGGUGUAAAGGGUGCGUAGACGGAGAAGCAAGUUAGUUGUGAAAUCCCUCGGCUUAACUGAGGAACUGCAACUAAAACUAGUUCCCUUGAGUAUUGGAGAGGAAAGUGGAAUGCCUAGUGUAGCGGUGAAAUGCGUAGAUAUUAGGAGGAACACCAGUGGCGAAGGCGACUUUCUGGACAGUAACUGACGUUGAGGCACGAAAGUGUGGGGAGCAAACAGGAUUAGAUACCCCUGUAGUC